rnacentral:rRNA from 1 species
AGGGAGCCUGAGAAACGGCUACCACAUCUAAGGAAGGCAGCAGGCGCGCAAAUUACCCAAUUCUAACAGCAUAAAAGAGGUAGUGACAAGAAAUAACAGUACAACGCAGUUAAAAUGCUUUGUAAUUGGAAUGAUAGAAAUUUAAACAUUUUUUAAAGUAUCAGUUGGAGGGCAAGUCUGGUGCCAGCAGCCGCGGUAAUUCCUCCUCCAAUAGCGUAUAUUAAAAUUGUUGCAGUUAAAAAGCUCGUAGUUGAAUUUCUGCUAGAAAUAACCGGUGUGCUUUUAAUUAUAAAAGUGAUAUCUUAGUGUGUUACUAGCAAUAGUAUCUUUUGAAAUGUUUUUUGCCUUUAUAGUAAAGAACAAUGUUCAAGAUUUUUACUUUGAGAAAAUUAGAGUGUUUUAAGCAAGCUAAAGCUAUGAAUACUUCAGCAUGGAAUAAUAAAAUAGGAGUAUAGUUCUAUAUUAUUGGUUUUAAGAGCUAAAUUAAUGAUUGAUAGAGGCAGUUGGGGGCAUUUGUAUUUAAUUGUCAGAGGUGAAAUUCUUAGAUUUGUUAAAGACAAACUAUUGCGAAAGCAUUUGCCAAAGAUGUUUUCAUUAAUCAAGAACGAAAGUUAGGGGAUCGAAGACGAUCAGAUACCGUCGUAGUCUUAACUAUAAACUAUGCCGACUAGAGAUUGAAGGUCGUCUUUAUAAACGACUCCUUCAGCACCUUACGAGAAAUCAAAGUCUUUGG